UGACUGAACAUGAGAACAACAAUAAAGUCAUUGUGAACUGCUCUGUGCUGACACAUGAACACUGUAGACACACAGUGGAGUGGCUGCAUGAGGGUGAAAAGAAAAUAUCAGACGAGGAGAUAAAACCAGGUUCCUGCUCUGUGACUGUGACAUUUAAAAGAUCUCACCGUGAUCAGAAGUUACAGUUUUAUAAUUCAUUGAAGUGCAAAGUGACAGAUGGUUACACUAAAGAAGAACAACUGUUUCCCUUCAAACUCAAGUCCUCAGGUGAGAAAACAGGUGAAAACACAAAAUCAACGACUGCAAAAUUUACCUCAACAACAAGAACAACAACAGCAAUGAGAUCAACAACAACAAUGAGAUCAACAACAACAAUGAGAUCAACAACAACAAUGAGAUCAACAACAACAAUGAGAUCAACAACAACAAUGAGAACAACAACAACAACAACAACAAUGAGAUCAACAACAACAAUGAGAACAACAACAACAACAAUGAGAACAACAAAAUCUUCUCUAGAAUCAAAAAAAUCCUCACAAGGUUUGUUAUUAUGGCUCAUUAUCCUUCCCGUUGGUUUAUCAGCACUCUUAAUAAUUGUUGUGGUCAUAAGAUGGAAGAAACAUAAAGGAAAAGAAGGGCAGCUGGCCGGCAACACUGGACUGAGCUUAAACGCUGCAGAGACUCAGUCUGGACCAGGAACCAAUCAAACCAGGGCUGGAGCUGAUGAUGGUGUUUCCUACGUCUCCAUCAGCUUGCCCAAGAGGACCAGGAGUAAAACCCGGUCCCGUGGUCAUGAUGAAGGUGACACUGUGACCUACAGCACAGUGAAAGCUGUUUCCUCUUCUGCUGGAGAUGAUCCCAACCACCUCUAUUCCACCAUCAAUGAUGUAAAGAAGUAGGAUGAUGCUCAUGAAAAGAGAUAUGGUAGAUGCUGUUUCACUUUUUAGAUGAGAGAGUGAAUGUGAAAAGUCAUGGGUUAUUUUUUUUUGUCUUACGUAUUGGUUGUUUUGAACUAAUAACAUAAUAUUGUUUUGGUAAAUGGACUUAUAUAACACUUUUAUAUAGCUACUCUUUCAGAGCACUCAAAGUGCUUUAUACAACAAAUUCAUUCACCCAAGCAGUUAAGUGCUCCCUAUCUAACAUUAAUACUCAUUCACACUCCGAUGGAAGCAUCGGAGAGCAACAUGGGGUUAGUAUCUUGCCCAAGAAUAUUUGGCAUGCAGACUGGAGCAGACUGGGAUCAAACCACCACCCUUCUGGUUAGUAGCUGACCUGCUCUAACACCUGAGCUACAGACACCAAACUGAAAAUCAUUUAUGUUUCAAAAACAGACAUGUUACCACACAUAUAUAUUUCUGUUUUGACCUAAACUGUUUCUGCCAGAGGGGUAUGUGUUGACGUUUUAUUCCAAGAAACCUUUUCUGUUUGCUGCUGCUCAUAAAAGUUUAGCUGAUAGCGUCCUAUCACAGUACAUGACAUCAUUACUGUCUAAGGCGCAGCUUCAAAUGCAUCCUGAACAGUGCGGACAAAAAUUAGAAAUAAGAAAAAGUACUAAUAAAUUUUUUUUUGCCACUGUAAAUAAAUGCUUUAAAUAAAGGAUCCAGAUACUUUCUUCAUUUUAAGAAGAAACCACUUUAGAGCCUGUGUCAUUUUGUUAUAA
ensembl:lncRNA